GAGUUUGAUCCUGGCUCAGAUUGAACGCUGGCGGUAUGCAUAACACAUGCAAGUCGAACGGUAGCAGGCUCGGGAAACCGAGUGCUGACGAGUGGCGGACGGGUGAGUAAUGCGUAGGGAUUUGCCUAGUAGAGGGGGAUAACCUGGGGAAACUCAGGCUAAUACCGCAUAUGCCUAAGGGUGAAAGAGGGGGACCGUAAAAGGCCUCUUGCUACUGGAUGAACCUGCGUAGGAUUAGCUAGUUGGUAGGGUAAAGGCCUACCAAGGCGAAGAUCCUUAACUGGUCUGAGAGGACGACCAGUCACACUGGGACUGAGACACGGCCCAGACUCCUACGGGAGGCAGCAGUGGGGAAUAUUGGACAAUGGGCGC
rnacentral:rRNA from 1 species